GUCUUUUUCAUUGGUGGUUAUUCUGCAAAUGGUUGUGACUUUAGUGUGCCCAUUAGAGGAGGAGGUGGUAAUGGGGCUGCACUCUCAAAGUUAGUUCUAUAUUGUGUGAGAAAUCAGGGUCAAAGCAUCUUGUAGAGUUUGAAAUAUCUCUGGUGAUGUCAUUGGGUGUGCAGCACAUGUUUGAAUCUGCCCUUUGCAACUCAGGAAAGGUCAUGGAGGCUACAAACAAGAAAUGGGGGACACAGUCUGUGCCCAGGAGCCCCACAGGGUCCCGCUCAGUUUCACUAGAUACAAUAAAGGAAUUUUACUUAAUGUUGAUAACUCUAAAGACAUAUCUAUAUUAAUUAAGCCAAUAAACAUAAACUAGCUUUAAUACUGAAUAUUUUCCCAGAUCAAGAAUUUCAAGCUACAGAUUGCCAACAAACACAUGAAAGAAUGCUCAACAUCAUUAAUCAUUAGAGAAAUGCAAAUCAAAACUACAAUGAGAUAUCAUCUCACACUGGUCAGAAUGGCCAUCAUCAAAAAAUCUAGAAACAAUAAAUGCUGGAGAGGGUGUGGAGAAAAGGGAACACUCUUGCACUGCUGGUGGGAAUGUGAAUUGGUACAGCCACUAUGGAGAACAGUAUGGAGGUUCCUUAAAAAACUACAAAUAGAACUACCAUAUGACCCAGCAAUCCCACCACUGGGCAUAUACCCUGAGAAAACCAUAAUUCAAGAAGAGUCAUGUACCAAAAUGUUCAUUGCAGCUCUAUUUACAAUAGCCAGGACAUGGAAGCAACCUAAGUGUCCAUCAUCGGAUGAAUGGAUAAAGAAGAUGUGGCACAUAUAUACAAUGGAAUAUUACUCAGCCAUAAAAAGAAACAAAAUUGAGUUAUUUGUAGUGAGGUGGAUGGACCUAGAGUCUGUCAUACAGAAUGAAGUAAGUCAGAAAGAGAAAGACAAAUACCGGAUGCUAACACAUAUAUAUGGAAUCUAAGAAAAAAAAAAGUCGUGAAGAACCUAGGGGUAAGACGGGAAUAAAGACACAGACCUACUAGAGAAUGGACUUGAGGAUAUGGGGAGGGGGAAGGGUAAGCUGUGACAAAGUGAGAGAGUGGCAUGGACAUAUAUACACUACCAAAUGUAAAAUAGAUAGCUAGUGGGAAGCAGCUGCAUAGCACAGGGAGAUCAGCUCGGUGCUUUGU